UGAUGAAUUUAAAAAGAUGUUGGAUGAAUUGUUCUUACUUAAUGGAGUCCUUAAUAUUGGAGAUUCAAUUCCAUGGCUUGAUUUCAUGGACCUACAAGGUUAUGUUAAGAGGAUGAAAGUUGUAAGCAAGAAAUUUGACAAAUUUCUGGAGCAUGUACUUGAUGAGCAUAACAUGAGAAGGAACGCAGUGGAAAACUAUGUCGCUAAGGACAUGGUGGAUGUUCUAUUGCAGCUUGCUGAUGAUCCAACUCUGGAUGUUAAGCUGGAGAGACAUGGAGUCAAAGCAUUCACUCAGGUAUUCACUUUAUUCUUAUUAUUAAUGACCAUAUAUAUAUAUAACUUAAACUCAAAAAUAAAAUACAUUGUUUGUAUAAGAUAAUUUUCUCAUUUAACCUUGCACUGAUGAAUCCCUGCUGCAGUGCUCUGCUCCACUUUAUUGAGUAUGGAUGCAGACAAGAUAUUGUGGACCAAAAUUUGGUUUAUCACUUUUGAACAAGAAAAUGAAUAUACUCUUAAUAAUUGAAGUGGAUCAAUGAUAGUGUUGUAGAAAUGAUAUCACAUCCACUUUCUGUCCAAGUAAAACGGACGAUUUAAGGUGGUCCAUUUGUAGCUAUUUUAGAAAUAGAAAGUGACUACUAAAAGAAUAUAAAUGAAUUUUGUAGCUAUAUUACCAAAAAUUACGGCUCUAAUACUAGUUAGCACCACAUUAUAAUAAGUUAUUAACUAUGAUUAGCGAGAAAGUUCAUAGCUAGUUAGGUUAUUUGUAUUUGUUUCUUAUGCUUGAUUAAAGUUGAUGAGACGAGAUUAAAAUGUGUAUGUACAAUCAGGACUUGUUGGCUGGUGGAACUGAGAGUUCAGCAGUGACAGUAGAAUGGGCAAUUUCAGAGUUGUUGAAGAAGCCAGAGAUUUUCAAAAAAGCUACCAACGAAUUGGAUCGAGUAAUAGGCCAAAACAGAUGGGUACAAGAAAAAGACAUCCCGAAUCUUCCUUACAUAGAGGCAAUUGCAAAAGAGACUAUGCGUCUGCACCCCGUGGCACCAAUGUUGGUGCCACGUGAGUGUCGGGAAGACUGCAAGGUAGCUGGCUACGAUGUUAAAAAAGGAACCAGGGUCCUGGUGAGUGUGUGGACUAUAGGAAGGGAUCCAACAUUGUGGGACGAGCCUGAGGCUUUCAAGCCUGACAGGUUCCUGGAGAAGUCCAUCGAUGUUAAAGGACACGAUUUUGAGCUUUUGCCAUUCGGAGCUGGGAGAAGGAUGUGCCCUGGAUACAGCUUGGGUCUUAAGGUGAUUCAAGCUAGUUUAGCUAAUCUUCUUCAUGGAUUUAACUGGUCAUUGCCUGAUAAUAUGACUCCUGAGGAACUCAACAUGGAAGAAAUCUUUGGGCUCUCAACACCCAAAAAGUUUCCACUUUCUGCUGUGAUUCAGCCAAGGCUUUCAUCAAAACUUUACUCUGUUUGAUUCAGCAUCUACUAUACUAUGGUUCCAUCGAAAUAGAGUUUCUUUAUCCAAAUACUUUAGCUAAAUAAACUCUAGCUAUAGUCCUAAUACUCUACUUUUAUUUCGCUUUUGCCCCUCAGUCACCUGGAUUUGCUUAUAUGUUUGUAUCACUCAGGAUGUGUUAAUCAAGGUUAAGAAAAAUGAAUCAAUUUCAAUAUUUCUGUAAUGUAAGAAUGUUUUUGGAAAGAUUUCACAUCAUGAGUUAACUCUUUUACUUUAGUUUUCAGAAAGUCAGUCAUACUACUUUAGUUCAUUAUGAUGAAAUGGAAUAUGGAUUUUUGUUGAAGCCAUUCUUCUAUCUAUCGUUCUAGUUUUUAGUGAAGCGACUGUCUGAUAUCCCAUCGUGUAAAUAGAAUGAUUAUCAGCAUGGUCCCUAUUAUCAUAUCCUUGAUAAAUAUUUUAAUAGACUCCUCUUAUAACCCAAACAAUACUAGCAAAGGCAGUCAAGAAGAAACAAGUAUAUAUUUGUCUUAUGGUGUUGUGGAUAGGUCACAAUCAGUUGUGAAUUAGGAAAGUAAAUCACGCAAGUUCUUCAUUAAUUGAUAUAUCAAGUGUAUGAACUUCCUUAAGAACCUAUUUUUCUUUUUUCAGUUUCUCUGGUGAUUGGAUGGUACUGGUAGUUGGGGCACUCCACAGUGUGGUGACACACUUGAAAGACAUGUUAAGGGUCCAAAGCUAUGAACCUGUACUACAUUAUUAUUCGUUAUAAUAGUUUAACGUAAAGUCAAAUAACUUUUACAAAUUUUAGAAUAUGCAAGAAGUGUUCAUUUUAUUAUCACCCAUCCGAUUCAUUUGUCAUUAAAAUCAUUUAGGGAUUAAAAUAAGAGUCACUAGUCAAAGUCGAGGUAAACGUCAGGUCAAUUCUUCACAAAAUUUGGUAGGAGUGAAAAUUAAAGUUACAGGUAUUUAGUAUAAUUUUCUAGAGUAAUAUCUUUGAUAUUUGUACUUAACAAAAAUUUAGACAGCUUUGACUAUUAUGAUAUUUAAGGAAGAUAUUUGUAGGAAAGAAGAAUCAUCCCUACACAAGUAUAAAUAGGAAUGACCUUAGUCAUUUGUAAUCAAUACAAGAGCUAUUUAAAUCAUACACUAAUUUUCUUUUAUAAUAAUUAAUAAUUUUUUUAUUCAAAAAUACACAUUCUCCUUUCUAACUUUCUCUUCUUUAGUUAAAUUUUUCGAUCUAAGUUAAUUAUUUUGAGCUAGCAGAAGGAUUUACCGAUUAUACUUUUGUUUUACUAUUAAGGUGCAAUCAAUCACGUACCAAAUUGGAAGACUUUGACAUUUUUGUACACGUAAUUUCUAAUUUAAAGUGAAAUGCACAAACUUAUAACUUAGUUACUGUGUAAUAAGAUCACUUCACUCUUUUAACAGAUUUAUUUCUGUGAAUAUAAAUUAAUCAUAUAUUAAAUUUUAAAUGACAAAUGUUACCUAAAAAAUAAACCACUCGUUCUACUUAUUAAAUUUUACUUGUUUAACACAUGUUGAAGGUAGGGAGGAAAUAAUAAAUAGUUUCUUGGAAAACCAAAGGCAACUGAAACAAAGUUCCAAAGGACAUUAUUACACUUUUUUUCCAUUUUCAUUCGGCAUAUGAUAUCUAUAUUAAAAUUAGAUUAAAUUCAAAUUAGUGUCAAGAAAGUUUUCGUUGAGGUAAAAUGCUUCCUAAAUAAAUGACUCUAUACCAAGAAGACUCAAACUCAGGAUUUCUGUUAAGUAUGAAGCAAUAAUUAUCGCUCUAUCACAAAUUUUGUUGAUACUCUCUAUUAAAGCGACAGAAAAAUGUUCAACGAUCUAUUAAAAGAAAAUAGUUGUCCCAAUAUAUGUGUAUAUAUAUAAAAUAUCUAUCGACUAUUAUUCAUGUAACACUACUAGACCAUUACUAUAAAUACAGCUCUGGCUAAGCCAUAAACAACACACUCCAAAUAAUUAGCACUUGCAGUCCUGUUCCACUACAAACAACAUAAUGGAAGGUAGUAGCUGGACUGCAGUUUUUCUUGCUACUCUGUUUGUUUUGCUUCUCUCCAAAUAUCUUUUCCAAAGGAAACUCAACUUACCUCCAGGACCAAAACCAUGGCCAAUCAUCGGAAAUUUAAACCUUAUUGGCAGCCUUCCUCACCGAUCCAUCCACGAUCUAUCGGUCAAGUAUGGACCCAUUAUGCAACUACAAUUCGGGUCUUUUCCCGUUGUAGUAGGCUCCUCCGUUGAAAUGGCAAAAGUGUUCCUUAAAACCAUGGAUAUCAACUUUGUCGGUAGGCCUAAAACCGCUGCUGGAAAAUACACCACCUAUAACUAUUCCGAUAUCACUUGGUCCCCGUACGGAUCCUAUUGGCGUCAGGCACGUAGAAUGUGCCUGAUGGAAUUGUUCAGCGCAAAACGGCUCGAUUCAUACGAGUAUAUUCGCGCUGAGGAACUUCAUUCUAUUCUUCAUAAUUUGAAGAAAACAUCGGGAAAACCUAUUCUGUUGAAAGAUUAUUUGACAACUCUGAGUUUAAAUGUUAUUAGCAGAAUGGUAUUGGGAAAAAGUUACUUGGACGAAUCCAAAAACUCCAUUGUAACACCCGAUGAAUUUAAAAAGAUGUUGGAUGAAUUGUUCUUACUUAAUGGAGUCCUUAAUAUUGGAGAUUCAAUUCCAUGGCUUGAUUUCAUGGACUUGCAAGGUUAUGUUAAGAGGAUGAAAGUUGUGAGCAAGAAAUUCGACAAAUUUCUGGAGCAUGUACUUGAUGAGCAUAACGUGAGAAGGAACGCAGUGGAAAACUACGUUGCUGAGGACAUGGUGGAUGUUCUAUUGCAGCUUG
rnacentral:lncRNA from 1 species